ACGUAGGAGGCGAGCGUUAUCCGGAUUUACUGGGUGUAAAGCGCAUGCAGGCGGCGCGAUAAGUUGGGUGUGAAAGCUCCUGGCCUAACCGGGAGAGGUCGCUCAAGACUGUUGUGCUCGAGCGUGGUAGAGGAAGGCGGAAUUCCGGGUGUAGUGGUGAAAUGCGUAGAGAUCCGGAGGAACACCAGUGGCGAAAGCGGCCUUCUGGACCAUGACUGACGCUCAGAUGCGAAAGCCAGGGUAGCAAAC
rnacentral:rRNA from 1 species